CCCUACCAUACAUUAUAGAUUCAUACCAUUUCCAUGAUUAUAACUGGUCACUGUGGAUUUCAUUUUUUUAUUAUUUUACUAUCAUUAUUAUCAUCAUCAUCAUCUUUAUUCAGGACAGGAGAAAGAAAGUAACAGGAAAGCAUUUACCCUACACAUAAGUAUGUAGAUCUGUAGCAUCAUUGCUGAAUUAUGCUAUAAUGAACAUUCAAGACUAAUAACAUUAUAUAAAGUGUUACAAUAUUAAACCAAGAUAGGAGACCAGGUAGGUAACAAGCCUAAAAUUGCUUCAAAGUGGGGGACUAAAUGCCAUAAUUAAAUUUAGUGGGUUUAACAGUCUUGAUAUAUAUAUAUAUAUAUAUUUUUUAAUAAUUUUCAUUCCCCAGGAUGUGGUUUUUAACACCAAUAAUGUAUGUGUCAUUUGUAUAGUAAAAUUGGAUUUUAAGAGACACAAUUUAAUAAAGAAUGUAUUUGUGAUGUUAUUGUGCAAAACACUUUCUGAUCAAUUGAAAUAAGGCAAUGCAUCUGGUAUAGUAUAAUAAUUAAUCUGAGCAGGUGCACAUAAAGUUACAACAUAACUUUUAGUUUUUAAAAUGAAUAAAAAGGGAACCAUUUUAACCAAAACAACCAGGGUAUUUACAAAUGAAAUGACACCCUAAGAAUGUUUUCAAACUGUUUCUUUUUGAUGUUGUUGCAUCAUUUUGGAAUACUUUUAGGAUUCCUUUUGCGUUCAUGAUGUAAAUAUUUAAGGAGACAAAUGAGCAUUACAACAUUGUAUAUAUGUUUAUGAUGUGAUGAUUUUCGAUUAUAUAUAAUUACCAUAAAACUGUGCUAUUUGACUUUAUAGUAACUUGUUAUAUGUAACUUGUUAACAGCAUAAAAUUAUUUACUUGAGAUAGCAAUAUAAAGAAGGCCAACUUAUUAUAUAAUUCAAUUCACUAGUGUCUUUAUAGCUGAUUAGUUAGAAUUGUAUUAAAUUGAAAACACAAUUUACACAUAAAGCAUGCUUUGACUAUAUCAGAGUUGAAGAUUUUUCUUUAAGGAGAUUUACAAUUUUGUUUUCAGUUCAGUGAAAAAAAAAAAAAACUUGAUCUUCAUAUAGAUAAAUUAGUAUCCAAACAUUUUUUUCAAUAGACUUUAUAGAAGAGAUUUAUCAAGGGGUUAUGAAAAAUGUCUUUUAUUUUUGCUUAACAUUUGCAGUUCAUGGUUUAGUGAAUCAUGUGUUAAAUGUCUACUUUUGAAAUGGUUUUCUAUACUGUUCAGUUUAUCUGGGAUAUUACUUAUGUUAUUUAUAAAAUAUUUUACCAUGAAGUAUACAUUGAGAUUUCUUUCGUUUUCAAGUAUGUCCUGGGUAUAUACUUGAAAUUAAAUAAGUCUCUGUCUAUUUCAUUUGGUAAGAAAAUAACUAGUGACAUUUGUUCUUAUGAUUUGUGUGUGAUAUUUGUUGAUCAUUUUCUUUUUUUUUUUUAUUGAACAAUAACAGUAUCUUUUUGACUAGUACUACAACAAAUAGGAUUAGAAGCCAAACUGCAUUGCCAGCUGAUAACAAAAAGUGAGAUACUAUCUCUAAAACACUGCAGAAAAUACUUAAAAUGACUGUCAUUUCAAAAAUGAUCUUAUUGAAUUCUCUCAGGCAAUCUG